GAUGAACGCUGGCGGCGUGCCUAAUACAUGCAAGUCGAGCGAACAGACGAGGAGCUUGCUCCUCUGACGUUAGCGGCGGACGGGUGAGUAACACGUGGAUAACCUACCUAUAAGACUGGGAUAACUUCGGGAAACCGGAGCUAAUACCGGAUAAUAUAUUGAACCGCAUGGUUCAAUAGUGAAAGACGGUUUUGCUGUCACUUAUAGAUGGAUCCGCGCCGCAGUAGCUAGUUGGUAAGGUAACGGCUUACCAAGGCAACGAUGCGUAGCCGACCUGAGAGGGUGAUCGGCCACACUGGAACUGGAACCCGGUCCAGACUCCUACGGGAGGAAGCAGUAGGGAAUCUGCCGCAAUGGGCGAAAGCCUGACGGAGCAACGCCGCGUGAGUGAUGAAGGUCUUCGGAUCGUAAAACUCUGUUAUUAGGGAAGAACAAAUGUGUAAGUAACUAUGCACGUCUUGACGGUACCUAAUCAGAAAGCCACGGCUAACUACGUG
rnacentral:rRNA from 1 species